AUUGAACGCUGGCGGCAGGCCUAACACAUGCAAGUCGAGCGGCAGCGGGAAAGUAGCUUGCUACUUUUGCCGGCGAGCGGCGGACGGGUGAGUAAUGCCUGGGAAAUUGCCCAGUCGAGGGGGAUAACAGUUGGAAGCGACUGCUAAUACCGCAUACGCCCUACGGGGGAAAGCAGGGGACCUUCGGGCCUUGCGCGAUUGGAUAUGCCCAGGUGGGAUUAGCUAGUUGGUGAGGUAAUGGCUCACAAAGGCGACGAUCCCUAGCUGGUCUGAGAGGAUGAUCAGCCACACUGGAACUGAGACACGGUCCAGACUCCUGCGGAAGGCAGCAGUGGGGAAUAUUGCACAAUGGGGGAAACCCUGAUGCAGCCAUGCCGCGUGUGUGAAGAAGGCCUUCGGGUUGUAAAGCACUUUCAGCGAGGAGGAAAGGUUGAUGCCUAAUACGUAUCAACUGUGACGUUACUCGCAGAAGAAGCACCGGCUAACUCCGUGCCAGCAGCCGCGGUAACAC
rnacentral:rRNA from 1 species